GAUGAACGCUGACAGAAUGCUUAACACAUGCAAGUCUACUUGAUUCUACUUCGGUAGUUAAUGGUGGCGGACGGUGAGUAACGCGUAAAGAAUCUGCCCUUUAGUUCGGGAUAAUCUUUGGAAACGAAGGAUAAUACCGGAUAUUAUGGAGAUGUCGCAUGACGACUUCAUGAAAGCUAUAUGCGCUAGAGGAGGACUUUGCGUCCCAUUAGUUAGUUGGUGAGGUAAUGGCUCACCAAGACCGCGAUGGGUAGCCGGCCUGAGAGGGUGAUCGGCCACAAGGGAACUGAGACACGGUCCUUACUCCUACGGGAGGCAGCAGUGGGGAAUAUUGGACAAUGGACCACAAGUCUGAUCCAGCAAUUCUGUGUGCACGAUGAAGGUCUUCGGAUUGUAAAGUGCUUUCAGUAGGGAAGAAAAAAAUGACGGUACCUACAGAAGAAGCGACGGCUAAAUAUGUGCCAGCAGCCGCAGUAAAAC
rnacentral:rRNA from 1 species